GCCAUCCUCUCAUCACUUGCAUCCAGAUCAGAAUGGAGAACAUGAUUUCGCAGCCACACUUUCCAGGUGAUGAAGUGGUGAUUCGCAAGUCUGCAAGCUACCAUCCCACCGUUUGGGGUGAUUACUUUAUCUUACAGGCCCAGUCCUCCCCCGGUACACAGGAGUGCGAUACAAGGAUGCAAGAGAGAGCUGCAGAACUGAUGGAGCAGGUAAGAAGCAUGUUCAAGGACACUACCGACAUCUUGCAAACUAUGGACUUGGUCGAUUCAAUCCAGCUUCUUGGAUUGAGUUAUCACUUCGACAAAGAAAUAAGUGAAGCAUUAAAACGAGUCCAUGAUGCCGAUUUGAACUGUCAUGGUCUCUACGAGACUGCUCUCCGGUUUCGCCUGCUGAGACAACAAGGGUAUCAUGUGACCCCUGAUGUUUUUAACAAGUUCAAAGAUGAGGAAGGAAAUUUAUUGUCCACCAUGAAGGAUGAUCCAAAGGGACUUUUAAGCUUAUACAAUGCGGCUUAUCUACGGAUACAUGAGGAGACCAUACUCAAUGAAGCUAUUUCUUUUACAAGGGACCAGCUUGCGUCCAUGUUAAGUGAUCUCACACCACCAUUAGCAACGCAAGUGAGACUCUUCCUUGAGAGUCCUCUCUGUAGAAGAAUGAAAAGGCUCUUGGCACGAAAUUACAUCUCCAUCUACCAAGAGUGUGCGACACAAAAUGAUGCCUUACUAGAGCUGGCAAAGCUUGACCUCAAUCUACUGCAAUGUCUUCAUCGCGACGAGAUUAAGAGCAUCUCCAUAUGGUGGAAUGAUUUAUUCCUCACCAAAAAUCUAAGUUUUGCACGAGAUCGGGUGGUGGAAUGUUAUUAUUGGAUACUUGCGGUGUACUUUGAACCUCACUAUUCUCGUGCACGAGUGAUUACCACCAAGGUGAUGGCCAUGACUUCUAUCUUGGAUGAUAUCUAUGAUCUCUAUAGCACAUUGGAGGAGAGUCAACUACUCACUCAAGCAAUUCAAAGGUGGGAUGCCAAGGCUGUUCAUCAGCUACCAGAGUAUAUGAAGGGCUAUUUUCUAAACCUAAUCCAUACCUUUGAGGAAUUCGAAAAUUUGCUAGCACCCAGUGAGAAGUAUCGUUUAUUUUAUCUUAAGGAAGCGAUGAAAGGUUUAUCAAGAUCCUAUCUCGAGGAAAACAAAUGGGCUGUCAAACAGUAUGUGCCAAAAUUAGAAGAACAUCUGCAAAUCUCGCUCAUCAGUUCAGCCUAUCCUAUGCUUGUUUGUGCUUGUUUUGUUGGAAUGGGGGAAGUAGCAACAAAGGAGGCAUUCGAGUGGGUUGCUAGUUUCCCUAAGAUCGUCAAGGCUUCUGCAUUAAUUGCUCGUAUCGUCAAUGACUUCGUUUCACAUGAGCUGGAGCAAACCAGGGAACAUGUUGCCUCCACAAUCCAAUGCUACAUGAAAGAGUUUGGUACAAAUGAGCAUGUGGCAUGCGAGAAUCUCCAAGUUUUGGUUGAAGACGCAUGGAAAGAUGUAAACGAAGAGUGCCUCAAUCCGACUGCAGUAUCCAUGCCUUUGCUUGAAAGAUGCCUUUAACAAGUUCAAAGCUGAGGGAGCGAGUUUCAUGUCUACGUUGGGCAGUGAUGUGAAGGGACUACUAAGCUUGUACAACGCAGCCUAUCUUGGGAUUCAUGGUGAGAUCAUUCUUGAUGAAGCCAUCUUAAACCACCAUUAACAACGCAAGUGUCUCUCCACCUCGAGACAACUCUCUGUAGAAGAAUGAUGCCAAGAAGAUGCCACCCAGGAGCUUGCAAAGUUGGACUACAAUUUGUUGUAGUCUCUUCAUCACGAGGAACUUGAGAACAUCACCAAAUGGGACGGGAAGGUUGUUCAUCAAUUACCAGAGUAGAUGAAGGAUUAUUAUCUAAAGUUAAUCCACACCUUUGAAGAGUUUGAAGAUUUAUUGGCUUUCGGUGAGAAAUAUCACAUAACAUAUCUCAAGGAAGCGGUACAGAUGAAAGAUUUAUCUAAAGCUUAUUUUGAGGAAUCCAAAUGGAGAGAUCAACAUUACGUGCCAACUUUGGAAGAACAUCUACGUGUUUCUCUAAUCAGUGCAGCGUAUCCUAUGCUCGAAUGUGCUUCUUUUGUUGGAAUGGGAGAAAUAGCAACUAAGGAGGCAUUUGAGUGGAUUACUAGUUUCCCAAAGAUUAUCCGAGCUUCUGCAAUAAUUUGUCGUAUCAUGGAUGACAUUACUUCACAAUCUACUCUAUUUUUAUCAUAUAAACAUUGUUCUUAAUAUAUUACCAAAUAUAGUACAAACGAAAAAUCUCAUCUGUAGAUUCCUAAAUUCCUCUCAUCUACAACUUGUUAUCGAUAGUAGUCUAAUAAUUUGUUUUAAUAUGAGGAACAUGUAAAUCCUGAAAAGAUCCCUCAGAAUUCAAUUUGUAGAUCAUUCAUUUUCUUUUUUCAUGAAAUUUGCAGUUGGAACAAACUAGGGCACAUGUUGCCUCCACAAUCCAAUGCUACAUGAAAGAGCACGGAACAAAUGUGCAAGUGGCUUGUCAGAAGCUCCAAGAUCUAGUUGAAGAUGCAUGGAAGGAUAUAAAUGAAGAGUGCCUCAAUCCAACUCUAUUCCCCAUUGCUUUACUUGAAAGGACUGUUAAUUUUUCACGAAUGGUGGAAAAUAUAUAUAAGCAAGUCGAUGGAUACACCAACUCCUCUACGAAGAUGAAGUACUUUAUCUCUUUGUUACUCGUACUUCCUAUUCCAAUUUGAUUGUAUGAGGAUGCUUACUCCUUUUAUUAAUCCUUUAUCCUGAAAUAUAUUUAAGCUUUUAUAAACUAAAAGCUGCACGUGUAAUGAAUGUUUACUGUAAUGGCGGGAAGAUCAAACCAAUAUUAUCCAUGGAGAAAUAAAUGCUUGCUUAAUAGUUCAAA